UACGAAGGGGGCUAGCGUUGUUCGGAUUUACUGGGCGUAAAGCGCACGUAGGCGGAUUGUUAAGUCAGGGGUGAAAUCCUGGAGCUCAACUCCAGAACUGCCUUUGAUACUGGCAAUCUUGAGUCCGGAAGAGGUGAGUGGAACUCCUAGUGUAGAGGUGGAAUUCGUAGAUAUUAGGAAGAACACCAGUGGCGAAGGCGGCUCACUGGUCCAUUACUGACGCUGAGGUGCGAAAGCGUGGGGAGCAAACAGG
rnacentral:rRNA from 1 species